GGGCCUGAGCACCAGGGAACUGGGUUCCCAGGGGGACCCCAGGCAUUCAGCUCCUGGGCCAGUGGGUCCAUAGGGCAGGGAGACCCGCAGCCCCCCAGGCUUCUCACUCAGACUAGGGUCCGGCAGGGAGGGCCUGAGGCCAAGCAGCUCCUGUCCCUUGCCUCCCUUUUGCAGGAGACCUAUGUGUGGACCUGCCAGGGAGGUGCCCACUCCUGUUAAUUUCAUUCCCAUUUCCAUGUGCCCUUUCCCCAAAUCAUUCACGUGAGCCCCUAUUCCCACUGAGUCCCCCAAAGGGGCUUACAGUUUACAGGUAGCCUGAGCCACUUUGGAGCUGGUUUUUCUGUUCAGGGCUUGGCAGAUAAAGGUCCCAGCUUCCAGGAGCUUCUGGAGGUUCACACCCUUUGAGAAACAAGUUAGAGGAUGCACUAGGUCAUGACAUGCCUGCAACACCCAGGGAGACAUCGGACUGGACAGAAAACCGAUACUAAGAGAGUAAAGACCUUAACCUGGACAGCUACAACAGAGAAAACAGACCCAGCUUACAGAAUCAUGUGGCUUCGAGACCUGAGCCUCUAGGAGAUAACUUAAGACCCAAAAACAAACAAAAAAUCCCACAAGAACAAAGGCGGCCCAGGAUUGCUUUAGCAAACCUAAAGACAACAGGCCAGACUUCAACCAACGCGACAGCAAGGUCAGACACAAGACGCAGACACACCUGUGGUCAGACACUCAGAACUUUCUAAGAGGUGGCCAGUCCACAAGGAGCAAACCUCAAGGGAAACCCAAUCUGAACGCUCAGUUCAGUCUUCGGGGAACAGCAGGCCUCAUUCAGGUCUCUCCUGGCAUAUCCUCUCGGACCUCCCCAGCUGGGAUGGAGGCCUUCCUCAGCCGCGUGCUUCCUCCCUGCAGGUGAUCUGUCACAACGCACUGGGACUACCACAAAACUCCCCUGACUAUCCCCCUCACACACCCUUAUAGGCCAGGGUCACGUGUCUGUGUCCUCUGUGGCCACCCCAGGGCCUGGCACACAGGUAUCCGUGAAUCCUCACUGAAAGAAGGCGGGAACCUAGCUGUCCUGCCACUGUGUCCUUUUGGAGAAUGCACACGUGCCUUCCUCCUCGGACCUGCCCCGAUUACCUGCAGGGCCAUCAAAGUGUUGGCCAGGGCCUGGCCGUAGGUGUCAUGGCAGUGGACAGCCAGGGCAGCCACGGGCACCUCGUGCAUGACAGCCGACAGCAUGUCCUUCAUGAUCCCAGGGGUGCCCACACCGAUGGUGUCCCCCAGGGAGAUCUCGUAGCAGCCCAUCGAGUACAUCUUCUUGGUGACCUGGGGAGGCAAGCAAGCAAGCACUUGGAGGACACCAGGUUCCUCAAGCCAGGGGCCCAACACCUCAGAAGCAGGGGUCCCGGGCCUGUGCCGAACAUCUCCCUGUCGGAAACACUACGUUCCUGUCCGAUCAUCGGCUCCUUACAACUUUCUAGUGGGAAUGACGAUCCCCACUCUACUCACCAGGAAGCGGAGACGUAAGGGAACAGAGCUGGCCCCUGGAGCAACCCUGGGCUGCAACCCCGAGCUUUCCUCCCACCCUUUCCUGCCCCUGUGCCCCCGACUUCAGGCCUUCACGCGCCACCUCCACACACCGGGGCAGAGCCAACGACUGGAAUCAAUAAAAUGGAUUCCUCUCACGUGACUUUGCCCUCAGUAAGAUCUACAGUCUCGUGGGUCUGAGGGGCUAGUUAUGUAUUUUUAAUAGAAGUACCUAACUGUUGGAACUUUGAGAAGCUCAUCUGCAAACCCCUAAAGUCACUGAGAAGCCAGGGCAGCGUGUGCCCCACUUGAGAUGCUGGCCCACACUGCGCUGCCAGACGGCGGGCGUGUGACAGGGCCAGGGACGCAGGUGACACUCUCAGAGGCCUGCCAGGCAGAUGGACCGGCGAG